AACGAACGCUGGCGGCAUGCUUUACACAUGCAAGUCGAACGAGUAUGGCCUAGCUUGCUAGGGCCCAGCUAGUGGCAGACGGGUGAGUAACGCGUGGGAAUCUACCCUGUAGUAUGGAAUAGCCCCGGGAAACUGGGAUUAAUACCAUAUACGCCCUGAGGGGGAAAGCUUUAGUGCUAUAGGAUGAGCCCGCGUCAGAUUAGCUUGUUGGUAGGGUAAUGGCCUACCAAGGCUACGAUCUGUAGCUGGUUUGAGAGGAUGAUCAGCCACACUGGAACUGAGACACGGUCCAG
rnacentral:rRNA from 1 species